UACGUAGGGUCCGAGCGUUGUCCGGAAUUAUUGGGCGUAAAGAGCUCGUAGGCGGUUUGUCGCGUCUGCUGUGAAAAUCCAGGGCUUAACCCUGGACCUGCAGUGGGUACGGGCAGACUAGAGUGUGGUAGGGGAGACUGGAAUUCCUGGUGUAGCGGUGAAAUGCGCAGAUAUCAGGAGGAACACCGAUGGCGAAGGCAGGUCUCUGGGCCACUACUGACGCUGAGAAGCGAAAGCAUGGGGAGCGAACAGG
rnacentral:rRNA from 1 species